GGGGCCGCGGUCGCUGCCGAAGUUGGGCCGAGGGUCGGCCACGGCCCCGCGUGGGGGUCGCAGGGUGCCAGGCUGUGCAGAGUUCCGGGGACGGCCUUCUGGAUGUCGCCAAGCAGCCCUGGGCAGGCACGGGUCUUGUGGUCAGACUCUCGGCCAUCAGGACGGGAGCUUCCAGGACCAGCAUCCUGAGGGUCCCUUCUGGAAACUUUCUUAAGGAAGAGAGUGGCAGAUUUGGCUUUUCUGUGCAUUUCUGCCACUUCAGCGAGGCCACUAAGGGAGUCAGGACGCCGAGGACUGUUUGUGGUGUCCAGCGAUGUUCCCCUGCUUAUCUGCCGGGCCUGGCUUUGCUGCUGGGGUUAGAGCAGCCUCCAGGCCUGCCGGCGCCACGACGCUUGUGGCAGGCCCCGUCCCUGUCCCGGGCAGUGGGGGUUGAUGGCUGGAGCUGAGAGAGGCGGACUUAGUCGAGGCCUUGGCCUGCACUUGGACUUGCCUUUGGAGGGACCCUGUCCUAACGGUCACAGUGGCUUAUUGUCACACCCAGGAAGCUUGGCCAGGCCGGGUGCUGCAGGUGAUGGGGAUGCUGUGGGUGGCCUUCCGGUUGAGGACCAGCCGAGCUGAUUUGCUGCCACGGGGCAAUGACUUAGCAUUGGCGACCUCCAGUGGACCCCGGUGUUCUCAGCCAGCCCUGGAGGGCAUUCUGUGCUGGGGGUGAGCAAGAACUCUGAGGUCAGUAGGGGCUCCAGCGUCCUCCCCCAACACAGCCUGGCCCUGCAGAGCGCUGGUGAUGAUACUGCCUCGGCCUGUAUUUACACCGGGCAGGGUCCAGCCUUGGCUUGUGUGGGGAGUUGGCCUGGCCUGGCUUGGUCCUGCUCUGCCAUGGACUGGACAUCUGUGGGGAGCUGGGCCUUUCCUCACCUCAGCACAUCUCAUGUCAUUGUUUUCAAUGAGUUUAAAACUCAGAAGUAAACUUUUUAGCAACUCGAA